rnacentral:rRNA from 1 species
AUACGUAGGGUGCAAGCGUUAAUCGGAAUUACUGGGCGUAAAGCGUGCGCAGGCGGUUUUGUAAGACAGAGGUGAAAUCCCCGGGCUCAACCUGGGAACUGCCUUUGUGACUGCAAGGCUAGAGUACGGCAGAGGGGGAUGGAAUUCCGCGUGUAGCAGUGAAAUGCGUAGAUAUGCGGAGGAACACCGAUGGCGAAGGCAAUCCCCUGGGCCUGUACUGUCGCUCAUGCACCAAAGCGUGGGGAGCAAACAGGAUUAGAUAGCCUGUUAGUCCACGCCCUAAACGAUGUCAACUGGUUGUUGGGUCUUCAUUGACUCAGUAACGAAGCUAACUCGUGAAGUUGACCGCCUGGGGAGUACGGCCUCAAGGUUGAAACUCAAAGGAAUUGACGGG